AAGACUUGUCAAAAGUAUUUUGUCGUUGGCCUGUGAAAUUACUUAACACGACUUGUGAAUCGCUUUUGUAUUCGACUCUCAGCCGUCGUAUCUAAGACAGCUGCCAGAGAUGUCACAUGUCGCUGUGUGGUCAGUACAUGAGCAAUUGGUUCUACAUAUUAAGAAGAUUCAAAGUGUUCAUAGGUGCCUCUGAUACAAGACCACUGCCAGGCAGCCUUGAACAGAGUUGUCUAUAAGGGAGACGCAGUACCUGGUGUCACGUAACGACAUCCCACACGGAGCAACUGUAAGUAACCGAACAUCUAAAACAUAUUCCUCGGAUUUUUGAAAAAAAUAGCAUUUACUGUGCUCUCUGUAAAAACUGGAAAUUAAUUACUGUUUAGAUACAGAGAAGGCUGACUGUUACCUCGAAUAGUAAACUCCAACAAUUUAUUUAUAUAUAUAUACUGUGUGAUAGUUAACGGUUGGAAAGAAGAACAGUUUACUUCUAGUAAACCCCCACCUGCGGCUGCUUAAUGAAUCCAACUUCUAUACAUAAAUUGUCAUCUCCUGAAUCAUGUGUCGUAUAAUGAUAUAACAUGUCAAGUAUAUUCAGUGGUAUAUGUGGAAACCAUCGGCAAAAUAUGUUGCGAAUAGAGGUAGUUGUAAACAACUAAAAAAAAUAAAUAAAUAAAACGUCAUGUCUGAGGCUACAAUUUUAAUACAUGACCUGUGGAAAUGUAGAAAGCGUAAAAAAAUUUUCUUUCGGCAUUUUGUAGGGAGUGUCUGCGAGAAAAAUAUUCGUGAAGAUUUCAAAUUAUACAUGAGGAUUGUUGGAAGUCCCCAGGUAUUAUGAUAUUAUAAAUACUGAAUAAUUGUGGUCUGGGUAAUUUAUGCGUUGUGAUUUACCUCACCUCAACAUACAUUAACAUUUUAUAGCUUUACUACCUGACUUACACUUCUUAUAAGUAGAUUAUGACAGCAUUUUAAAUUUUUCAAAUUGGUCAAAAAAUUUUAGUUGCCUUGGAAACCGAUAGAGAGGCUAUUCGCAACUGGGACUGUGCCCCGGGUAACACGGAUAUUGUAAUAAUAACGAACGACAAUCAACCAGCACAUGAGUGAAAUUAUGUAGCCUGAAUUAGGUGUAAAACUUACUGGUGUCCGAAACACGUUCAUUACGGUGGAAGCCGUUUCCUUCCAAAAUUCUUGUUUUUCGGAUUUAAGAUUAUUCUUGUUAGGAAUCUGAAACGUAAAAUUAAAAGAAACGGAUCAACAGGAAAACACUUUGCUACGAGUAUCCAUGCGACACGCAGCAUAUUAAAAUGAAAGUCAGGAAUAAUCAGGAAUUAUCUAAUAAAGCCGUCCAGCUGUAUUCCUGAGGAACAGAUUGUUAAGCAAGAGACCAGCAAUCAGGAAAUGGAAACAAAUAAGGAGCCUUGUUCCUACUGUUCUUUUUAUUUAUAUAUGUGAUUCCACAUCGGAUUUUCAAUGUUUUGCAGAGAUCAGUGACGGACAAGAUGUCAUUCAACUAUGCGCCAGAUACCUUCGGUGGCCUACAGAUCAAGCAUAUGAGCCUAAUAGGAAGGGGACAGGCACUGUUCUUGGAUGUAAGCUUGCACAGCCUUCAUCAAGUGUGCCUGGUCAUUGUCUGGACUUGUGGAACUCCUGUGUGUGGACAGAAUAUCGUGUAGUAAAAUCUCAGCUGAUCAUACCGUCUUCAGUAGUGGAGCGAGGGGCUUGUUGUAACAGGGAUGUUUUUGCUGGUCUUCUCGUUCUGCCCUUGCUGGCGGAGGGUGCAUCCUCAGACAGUGUGGGCUGUAUACGCCCGCUGCCUCCAUGGAGAUAUUCUGCAUGACAAUCACGAAAUGGCAUUCAUCUUCACCACUGCCGAGAAUCCCAGUGACGACCUGGUCAACCAGAUACGGACUGAGGUCGACGCUCGCCCUGAAAUCGACAUAUCCAAAUUCCAGAAAGUCAGUUUUUAAC